rnacentral:rRNA from 1 species
GCGACCGGCGCACGGGUGAGUAACGCGUAUCCAACCUUCCGUACACUCAGGGAUAGCCUUUCGAAAGAAAGAUUAAUACCUGAUGGUAUGAUGGGAUUGCAUGAUAGCAUCAUUAAAGAUUCAUCGGUGUACGAUGGGGAUGCGUUCCAUUAGAUAGUAGGCGGGGUAACGGCCCACCUAGUCGACGAUGGAUAGGGGUUCUGAGAGGAAGGUCCCCCACAUUGGAACUGAGACACGGUCCAAACUCCUACGGGAGGCAGCAGUGAGGAAUAUUGGUCAAUGGGCGCGAGCCUGAACCAGCCAAGUAGCGUGAAGGAUGAAGGUCCUACGGAUUGUAAACUUCUUUUAUAAGGGAAUAAAGUCACCCACGUGUGGGUGUUUGUAUGUACCUUAUGAAUAAGCAUCGGCUAACUCCGUGCCAGCAGCCGCGGUAAUACGGAGGAUGCGAGCGUUAUCCGGAUUUAUUGGGUUUAAAGGGAGCGUAGACGGGUCGUUAAGUCAGCUGUGAAAGUUCGGGGCUCAACCUUGAAAUUGCAGUUGAUACUGGCGUCCUUGAGUACGGUUGAGGCAGGCGGAAUUCGUGGUGUAGCGGUGAAAUGCUUAGAUAUCACGAAGAACCCCGAUUGCGAAGGCAGCCUGCUAAACCGCCACUGACGUUGAGGCUCGAAAGUGUGGGUAUCAAACAGGAUUAGAUACCCUGGUAGUCCACACGGUAAACGAUGGAUACUCGCUGUUGGCGAUAGACUGUCAGCGGCUUAGCGAAAGCGUUAAGUAUCCCACCUGGGGAGUACGCCGGCAACGGUGAAACUCAAAGGAAUUGACGGGGGCCCGCACAAGCGGAGGAACAUGUGGUUUAAUUCGAUGAUACGCGAGGAACCUUACCCGGGCUUGAAUUGCAGACGAAUUGCUUGGAAACAUGCAAGCCGCAAGGCGUCUGUGAAGGUGCUGCAUGGUUGUCGUCAGCUCGUGCCGUGAGGUGUC